CCAGACUCCUACGGGAGGCAGCAGUGGGGAAUAUUGCACAAUGGGGGAAACCCUGAUGCAGCGACGCCGCGUGAGUGAAGAAGUAUUUCGGUAUGUAAAGCUCUAUCAGCAGGAAAGAAAAUGACGGUACCUGACUAAGAAGCCCCGGCUAACUACGUGCCAGCAGCCGCGGUAAUACGUAGGGGGCAAGCGUUAUCCGGAUUUACUGGGUGUAAAGGGAGCGUAGACGGUGAAGCAAGUCUGAAGUGAAAGGCGGGGGCUCAACCCCCGGGACUGCAUUUGGAACUGUGCUGCUAGAGUGUCGGAGAGGCAGGCGGAAUUCCUAGUGUAGCGGUGAAAUGCGUAGAUAUUAGGAGGAACACCAGUGGCGAAGGCGGCCUGCUGGACGAUGACUGACGUUGAGGCUCGAAAGCGUGGGGAGCAAACAGGAUUAGAUACCCGCGUAAG
rnacentral:rRNA from 1 species